GCGGCCCGUGCGGGCGCCUCGCGGAGGGCGGGCGGGACCCCGAGCCGCGGCCGGCGCGGGAAGCAGCGAGGUGCGCGUGCGGCUCGAGGUCAAAAAUUCGCCGGGAGAAGAUGGGGCCCGGUCGCCUCGGUUGGCAGAGCGCGUGCAGUGUGCUGAGCCUUUCCACGUGCAUCAUCGCGUGCGCUGGGCCGGGGUGGCGCUCCCCCGCGAAGAGCGGCAGGCUCCCGUCCAGCGACGCUGGCCUCCGCACCGGAGACUUGGGAACUGGUUUAUGAGCACGUGGUUCAGGGACCCGCUUCUUACCCGUGAAGAAGUGAAGGCUUCUGGGUAAGGCUCCCUGUGCUAAGACACAGCCCCUCUUCUGUCUCUGGACCUUGCUGUGUCUGUAUGUGAUGCCUGGAACUGCUACACCCUCCGCAUUACCACACCCGGCAUGAAGCCAGGACACACUACUCAUGGUAGAGUGGAGAGAUGGAAAGAAGCUGGUUCAUGAUGACAUUGUUGCCUCCUUUGAACACAGUCGAAACCCCUGGAGUGGAACGGAUAAUGAAACAGCUCGGGAGUUAAGAUGAGCCACAAGAAGGAAACCAUGAGGAGUUUACUUGCAUUCAGCUGAGGACCGUGGUCCUGGCCAAGAGCCCGUCUGUUCUCUCCCUUUCUUUCUUUGCUGAUCUCCUCGGCCUGCACCCCAUGGCCCCUGUAUUAACCCCGUGCUAGGCAUCAUCAUCUUUUAUUAACUUGUCUGUCUUUCUUUCUGGAUCAUUAAGUUGCUUGAGGGGAGGAAUUUUUUGUCUUUUAUCUCGGUAUCACCAAUUCCUAGCAGACUCUUAACUCCCAGAAGGCAGGGAAUCCAUUUUAUUUUCUACACCUCCUGCUCACUCUCUGAUAAAUAUUUGUUGCAUAAAUAAAUAAAUUGCCAGCAAAUUGUAGGCACUUAAUAAGUAUUUGCUCAAUUAAUGAAUUGUAUGUUGAAAUUAAAUCACAUAUUUAUGCAAUCAAGGAGUUAACUAUUUUGAGAAAUAUUUAAUAUAUCCUAUGUAAAAUGACUAUCAUCCACUUAAAAUCUCUAGUUCUCUCUUCAGGUUUUUCUGAUUCUACAAGUAAUACAUGUUCCUUGCAGAAAGUCUGGAAAACACAGAAGAAAAUAAAAAUGAUACAGAACACUCCCACGUAAAACUAAGAACUAUUAAUAUAGCCCCACUCAUACUGUACACACAAUUUUUAUCCUGUUUUUUACUUAAUUAUGAAUAUUAACAUCUUUUUUUAAUGACUGUGUGAUAUUUUGACAUUGAUAUGUCUUAAUUUUAUUUAACUAUUUCUCUUACUUCUAAUGCAGCUUGGUUUUGAUUUUUCACUAUUAUAAAUAAUAUUGCAGGGAAAACUUUGAAUAUAAAUUUCUGUCUGCAUUUCUGAUUGUGUGCUUAGCAUCAAUUUCUAAAAAUCUUCUUUUUCUCCCAAGUUGUUCAGGGCAGUAUAUUCGAACAAAGGCUGGUGCUUUCUGCCUUUCAUUGUAAAAGUAAACAUGGUUACCAGCUAUUAGAUUGCCAAUUGUUCUUUUUUUAAGAUAGUGACCCAAUAAUUUCUACUAUUUUAGCCUUGUGACCACCUCUUGAAUUGCAUUAUCAUCUCAGUCGGGCUUACAAUGCCCUCCGAAGCACCCCCCAGCCAAUCCCUCCAGGGAAGUCUGGGCUCUGUGGACAUUUCCGUGAUGUUCAAAGAAGAGUUCUGAAAAAGUUGAGAUUGAUGGGGUCCAUUCAGGAGUGUGCUCUUGAGGUGGAAAGGAUAAAAUGUAAGUGCAUUUUUAUGAUAGCUUUCAGUCAUCCUGAACACCUAUCGACCUAACCAACCCCCUGAGUUUACUCCCCUUAUCACCCUCUGAAGAAUACUCCGGAUUCUAAUACAAACUCAAGGACAUGAUGAUUCUAUAAACAUGGUGUGUGGCAGUAGAUCAUCCUUUCUUCUUUCUGCCUGAAAUACCUCAUUAAAAGAGGA